rnacentral:rRNA from 1 species
GAUGAACGCUGGCGGCGUGCCUAAUACAUGCAAGUCGAGCGAACAGAUAAGGAGCUUGCUCCUUUGACGUUAGCGGCGGACGGGUGAGUAACACGUGGGUAACCUACCUAUAAGACUGGAAUAACUCCGGGAAACCGGGGCUAAUGCCGGAUAACAUUUAGAACCGCAUGGUUCUAAAGUGAAAGAUGGUUUUGCUAUCACUUAUAGAUGGACCCGCGCCGUAUUAGCUAGUUGGUAAGGUAACGGCUUACCAAGGCAACGAUACGUAGCCGACCUGAGAGGGUGAUCGGCCACACUGGAACUGAGACACGGUCCAGACUCCUACGAGAGGCAGCAGUAGGGAAUCUUCCGCAAUGGGCGAAAGCCUGACGGAGCAACGCCGCGUGAGUGAUGAAGGUCUUCGGAUCGUAAAACUCUGUUAUUAGGGAAGAACAAAUGUGUAAGUAACUGUGCACGUCUUGACGGUACCUAAUCAGAAAGCCACGGCUAACUACGUG